GCACCCGUAGCUCAAUUGGAUAGAGCAUCUGACUACGGAUCAGAAGGUUGUGAGUUCGAAUCCCGCCGGGUGCGCCA
rnacentral:tRNA from 3 species